rnacentral:lncRNA from 1 species
CGGUUCCUUAGAGCUCGUCGUCUCUGCAGUCUUCUGACUUUUAAUUUCCAGGACUUGGAUUCUGCCAUGUCUUCUGAAGAAGGAAAACUCUUCGUGGGAGGGCUCAACUUCAACACUGAUGAGCAGGCACUUGAAGACCACUUCAGCAGCUUCGGGCCUAUCUCUGAGGGUGAGCCAUGGAUCAGCCCCCAGGUUGAGGGUUGGUGGGUAAGAGUGAGUCUAGGACUAAAACCUGAAAUUCUGCCUUCCGCGUCUGUGAGGUACAGUUAGGCUGAGAAAAAUACAAUGGGAUACGGGAUUUUUUUCUGGGGGAGGAGGAGUUGGUGGGGGCGCUAUUUGAUGUGUGCUGCUGUGGCUGUGCCUGUGCCUGGUUUGCUUGGCAGGCUAUUGCCUUCCACUUUAAUGUUCUAACAUAUGUAUUUCUGCCUCUCCCCCACCCUCCCCAGUGGUUGUUGUCAAGGACCGGGAGACUCAAAGAUCCCGGGGUUUUGGCUUCAUCACCUUCACAAACCCAGAGCAUGCCUCCGAUGCCAUGAGAGCCAUGAAUGGAGAGGUGAGGCCUCCUGCCUGCAGAGGGGCCUUCUCCCUGUCUGCCACUUUCUUCGUUCUUUCUGUUUUCCCUCUAUGUCUGCCAGGGGCAGCGUGGCCAAGAAGCCCCGCAGUGUCCACUCACAGGAGCAUGACUGCCUUCUGUUCUAGGGGGUGGAGGGCAGCGGCAGACAGAGCCGGGCUGCCUGGGAGGCGACGACUGGUCCUGCAUGAGGCCGAGAAGCCACCUGUGGAUGGU